GCGGCACAGUGUAUCUGUGCAUCUGGCUGUUAACCAGAAGGUUGGUGGUUCGAGCCCACCCAGGGAUG